UACGGAGGGAGCUAGCGUUGUUCGGAAUUACUGGGCGUAAAGCGCACGUAGGCGGCUUUUUAAGUCAGGGGUGAAAUCCCGGGGCUCAACCCCGGAACUUCCCUUGAAACUGGAGAGCUAGAAUCUUGGAGAGGCGAGUGGAAUUCCGAGUGUAGAGGUGAAAUUCGUAGAUAUUCGGAAGAACACCAGUGGCGAAGGCGACUCGCUGGACAAGUAUUGACGCUGAGGUGCGAAAGCGUGGGGAGCAAACAGG
rnacentral:rRNA from 1 species